ACGCUCGACACCUACGGGAGCAGCAGUGGGGAAUAUUGCACAAUGGGGGAAACCCUGAUGCAGCGACGCCGCGUGAGCGAAGAAGUAUUUCGGUAUGUAAAGCUCUAUCAGCAGGGAAGAAAAUGACGGUACCUGACUAAGAAGCCCCGGCUAACUAUGUACCAGCAGCCGCGGUAAUCUGAGCGGGCUGGCAAGGC
rnacentral:rRNA from 1 species